rnacentral:rRNA from 1 species
GACGAACGCUGGCGGCGUGCCUAACACAUGCAAGUCGAACGAAGUGUUGCGCUGAAAUUGAGAUUAGCUUGCUAAAGGAUAUUUCUUGCAACACUUAGUGGCGGACGGGUGAGUAACGCGUGAGGAACCUGCCUUACAGAGGGGGACAACAGUUGGAAACGACUGCUAAUACCGCAUGAUGUGGAGGGGAGACAUCUCCCUUUCACCAAAGGAGCAAUCCGCUGUAAGAUGGCCUCGCGUCUGAUUAGAUAGUUGGUGGGGUAACGGCCUACCAAGUCGACGAUCAGUAGCCGGACUGAGAGGUUGAACGGCCACAUUGGGACUGAGACACGGCCCAGACUCCUACGGGAGGCAGCAGUGGGGGAUAUUGGGCAAUGGGGCGAAAAGCCUGACCCAGCAACGCCGCGUGAAGGAAGAAGGUUUUCGGAUUGUAAACUUCUUUAUCAGGGACGAAGAAAGUAGACGGUACCUGAUGAAUAAGCCACGGCU